GGAAAUACAGAGGGUGAGGGCAAUUUGCUGUACCUAGGCAUGAUGAAAAACAGGACACAAAAUGUUAAAUAUUUUAUGUUUUGUUUUGGUAGGGAAACUUUGUGAUCCUUCAAGCCCUGCUCUUUUCCCAGAUAUGAUUGGUAUUAGAAAAUAGAAAAAGUAGCCUAGUUAAUGGCACUUAUCAGGCUUUAAUCAUCAUGCUGGACAUACUUGUAGACAGGAUUAUUUUAAGCAAAGCAUCUGGAUAGAAUGUGUCUUUGUGUGUAUCUAUUCCAUCUUGGAUUUAUCCUGGCUGUGGGAUUUUGAGAUUCUGCAAUUGCUUUUGAAGAUGGUUGUUUCAUGUGGGACACUUCUUGACAAUUUCGGAGGUCCAAGUAUCCCUAUUUUGGAGAGAAAGUCCUUGUUGGACCUAAAUCCCCCUGACCUUCUUUUCUUUCCUAAUUUUCUACUUUUCUUUUG